rnacentral:lncRNA from 1 species
UCAUCUACUGCGUUUCUGUGCCCUCUUUUGUCCAAAAGGAUUCUGCGGUGUUGAGUGGCUUCCAGGCACAAACAUCAUUUCACUUAUCCUGAAAAGCAGCUACAUCCAAGAUGAAAACAGGACCACCGUAUUGGACAACAAGGUUUCUAGAUUUAAAAGAAUACUGUUGAACGGAGGUUUACGAAAUACAACUUCUACUAUCAGAAUUUGCCCUCCCACAACCAACCUGAAACGAAAUGUGUUUGCAACACUUCAGAAUAAUGCUUGAUGUAAGGUAUACUUUGUCUAACACAAAUAGUGUCUUAUACAUAAAAUCAAUUGUUUUAGUUGGAAAAUACAUUUCUGUAGUUGAGCAACUCUAUUU